rnacentral:rRNA from 1 species
UACGAAGGGGGGCUAGCGUUGCUCGGAAUCACUGGGCGUAAAGCGCACGUAGGCGGCUUUCUAAGUCAGGGGGUGAAAUCCUGGAGCUCAACUCCAGAACUGCCUUUGAUACUGGAGAGCUUGAGUCCGGAAGAGGUGAGUGGAACUCCGAGUGUAGAGGUGAAAUUCGUAGAUAUUCGGAAGAACACCAGUGGCGAAGGCGACACACUGGGCCAUUACUGACGCUGAGGCGCGAAAGCGUGGGGAGCAACAGG